rnacentral:rRNA from 1 species
UACGUAGGGGGCAAGCGUUGUCCGGAUUUAUUGGGCGUAAAGAGCUCGUAGGUGGUUCGGUAAGUCGGAUGUGAAAUCUCCAGGCUCAACCUGGAGGGGUCAUUCGAUACUGCCGUGACUAGAGGUCGGUAGGGGAGUGUGGAAUUCCCGGUGUAGCGGUGAAAUGCGCAGAUAUCGGGAGGAACACCAAUGGCGAAGGCAGCUCGCUGGGACGUUACUGACGCUGAGACGCGAAAGCGUGGGGAGCAAACAGGG